UGGGGAAUAUUGGACAAUGGGCGAAAGCCUGAUCCAGCAAUGCCGCGUGUGUGAAGAAGGCCUUCGGGUUGUAAAGCACUUUCAGUAGGGAGGAAAUGCCCAAGGUUAAUAUCCUUGGGAGCUGACGUUACCUACAGAAGAAGCACUGGCUAACUCUGUGCCAGCAGCCGCGGUAAUACAGAGAGUGCAAGCGUUAAUCGGAAUUACUGGGCGUAAAGAGCACGUAGGCGGAUUAUUAAGUUGGAUGUGAAAGCCCUGGGCUUAACCUGGGAACUGCAUCCAAAACUGGUAGUCUAGAGUAUGGUAGAGGGAAGUGGAAUUUCUGGUGUAGCGGUGAAAUGCGUAGAUAUCAGAAAGAACACCAGUGGCGAAGGCGGCUUCCUGGACCAAUACUGACGCUGAGGUGCGAAAGCGUGGGGAGCAAACAGG
rnacentral:rRNA from 1 species